rnacentral:rRNA from 1 species
CUACCCUUGACAUCGAGAGAACUUUCCAGAGAUGGAUUGGUGCCUUCGGGAACUCUCAGACAGGUGCUGCAUGGCUGUCGUCAGCUCGUGUUGUGAAAUGUUGGGUUAAGUCCCGUAACGAGCGCAACCCUUGUCCCUAUUUGCCAGCGAUUCGGUCGGGAACUCUAGGGAGACUGCCGGUGACAAACCGGAGGAAGGUGGGGACGACGUCAAGUCAUCAUGGCCCUUACGGGUAGGGCUACACACGUGCUACAAUGGCCGGUACAAUGGGUUGCGAAUCCGCGAGGUGGAGCUAAUCCCAUAAAGCCGGUCUCAGUCCGGAUCGGAGUCUGCAACUCGACUCCGUGAAGUCGGAAUCGCUAGUAAUCGUGAAUCAGAAUGUCACGGUGAAUACGUUCCC